rnacentral:rRNA from 1 species
CCUACGGGAGGCAGCAGUGAGGGAUAUUGGUCAAUGGGGGAAACCCUGAACCAGCCACGCCGCGUGAGGGAAGACGGUUUUCGGAUUGUAAACCUCUGUCCUCUGUGAAGAUGAUGACUGUAGCUGAGGAUGAAGCUCCUGCUAACUCCGUACCAGCAGCCGCGGUCAUACGUCGGGGGCAAGCGUUGUCCGGAUUUACUGGGUGUAAAGGGUUCCUGGGCGGCUUUGUAAGUCAGAAGUGAAAUCCAUGGGCUUAACCCAGGAACUGCUUUUGAAACUGGAGAGCUUGAGUGGAGUAGAGGUAGGCGGAAUUCCCGGUGUAGCGGUGAAAUGCGUAGAGAUCGGGAGGAACACCAGUGGCGAAGGCGGCCUGCUGGGCUCUAACUGACGCUGAGGCACGAAAGCGUGGGUAGCAAACAGGAUUAGAUACCCGGGUAGUC